rnacentral:tRNA from 1 species
UCCACGGUGGCUCAGAUGGUAAAGAAUCUGACUGCAACGCAGGAGACCCCGGGUUCAAUUCCUGGGUCUGGAA